UUCGGUACAUCGGUGACAGGUGGUGCAUGGUUGUCGUCAGCUCGUGUCGUGAGAUGUUGGUUAAGUCCCGCAACGAGCGCAACCCUAUUGUUAGUUGCCAUCAUUCAGUUGGGCACUCUAGCGAGACUGCCGGUAAUAAACCGGAGGAAGGUGGGGAUGACGUCAAAUCAUCAUGCCCCUUAUGACCUGGGCUACACACGUGCUACAAUGGUUGGUACAACGAGUUGCGAGUCGGUGACGGCGAGCUAAUCUCUUAAAGCCAAUCUCAGUUCGGAUUGUAGGCUGCAACUCGCCUACAUGAAGUCGGAAUCGCUAGUAAUCGCGGAUCAGCACGCCGCGGUGAAUACGUUCCCGGGCCUU
rnacentral:rRNA from 1 species